AUUUUGUUGGAUACCAGUAGGUGGGAUUGAACAGCAGCCUCUUUUAGUGGGCUUUCUUUACAAAACCCAACGACUCUACCUCUCUGCUUGCUAAGCAUGUGAACUUAUCAUCUAAUGGGGAAUGCAAGACUCACUCUCCAGUAAACCUAGAAAACUUAGAUAACCUUGCUUCUCAUCUAAUGAGACAGAUAUAUUCUUCUCUCCAGAAGACAGGUGUAACAUGGAUUCCAUGCCACUGGGCAACUGUUCAACUGCCCUGAAGAAACGGUGUACGUAUCACAAGUAUCACAAAGGGCUGCUGGGUCCACUGAGUGAUUGUUUUGCAUUAGGUGAGACUGUUUCGAAGCCAUGAUGUUUCACAAGUCUCUGAUUCUAUAUGUGCUGUUUGCUUUGGAGUGAAAUUACUUCCUCAUGCUUAGCACCACCAUUGCCUGAUUCCUGUCUGCCUGGAAUGAUUAUCUCCAUCUUCAAUUUGCAAGUGAAGAAACUGAGCUAUAGGGCCAUGGCACUAACAGGUUCUCUGGAAAGCAGUGGCUAAGAUGGAGUCAGAAAUAGAAAAGCUUAUUGUGGAUUAAUUCCUGGGGUGUGAUGGCUCAUACUUGUAGUCCCAGCACUUUGGGAGGCUGGGGCUGGGGCUUUGCUUGAGCCCAAGAGUUUGAGAACAGCCUGGGCAACACUGGGAGACCCUAUCUUUACAAAAUAUACAAAAAUUUAGCUGGUUGUGAUAGCACACACCUGUAGUCCCAGCUACUUGGGAGGCUGAGAAGAAGGAUCGUUUGAGCCUGGGAGCUCAAGGCUGCAGUGAGCCAUGAUCAUGCCACUGCACUCCAGCCUGAGUGACAGAAUAUCAGGAGCCAUCAGACCACCAUGCAGACUUGACAAGGUCUCUGCACAGUCCCAGAAGAAACAAAGCAAAGACUGCCCACUAGAGGAGUCCCCUUUUGAAGGAAAUGCCUGGACCCUUUUUUCUCUACCAUGCUUAGUCAUUGGCAAGGGCUGCCCUAAGAGCAGCAUGACUUCAGCUUAUAAGUGUGGAUGAACUGUACGCCUAAUAGCUAGAGGCCAUCAGCUAUCCACACUCUUCUCAACUGAGUAGCAACUCCAUUCUUGAAAGGGAACCUGAGAAACCUAUCUCUAUGUCUGCCACAGGUGGUAAACUUUUCCACUGUCAUGAAUAGUAGCAAGUGGCAGGAACAGGAUUUGAAUCCAGGUGAUAUGAUUCCAGCUCCAGUGUUCUCAUCCACUGCUUACUCCAGUUGUGUCUAGCAUAGAGAUGCCGGAGAGAAAUUACAGGGGUGUUGUCUCCAUGUCUUCUGUGAAGAGCACUCUCUUAGCCUAAUGCCUCCUCAGGGACCUCGAACUUUGAUCUCUGAACUGCGUCCUCCCAGGGCCCAGAGGGAAGAUCAAUCACUCAGGCAUCUCCCAGGACACCAGGUCAAGUGGCAGAAGUUCAUCCUCUGGGAUUCUUUGUCCUCUGUAACAUCGAUUGUCAACUUGGCAAAGCCAGCUUGACAAUACCAGAGUCUUUGUGUACAAUCCAUAGACAGCACUGGGAAGAGCAAACCAUGAGAGGCCAGCACUAAACCCUCAGGGUAGCUAAAGAGGAAGCAUGGUAAGACCUCAUUCUGCAGCAGAAAAAAACAAACAAUCUGCUCUACAUGUACCCAGCAUCAUGUGAACAUGAACCAGUUGAGUAUCGCCUGGGCCUCUGUUUGCUCAUCUGUAAAUGGGCUGGUUGCCCCUUCUUGCAAUGGACAAGCCUGCAUCCGCAGAGUUCGAGUCCUGUGUCUUGUGUCCUUGCCACAUCCUCCUCUGGGAGCACUCCGCAAAAGCUGUUAUUGUUAGCCCCCUUCUCUCAACCUCCCCAAUCAUUGCACACUCAUAGACAAAGGACAAUCUGAUCUUUAUGUGACCAAGAUAAAAUUUGAUGGGAGAUCAGCAAGACAUAAAGGAAGGUUCUUAAAUGACAUAUUUAUCCCAACAUUGUUCUGGGAAGAAAAGUAUCCAUUGUAAAAACUAAACAUGUCUGAUUAAAUGAUAAAUGCAG
rnacentral:lncRNA from 10 species